rnacentral:rRNA from 1 species
UACGGAGGUGGCAAGCGUUGCUCGGAAUCACUGGGCGUAAAGAGCUUGUAGGCGGUUUGUCGCGUCUGCUGUGAAAUUUCGGGGCUCAACCCCGAACUUGCAGUGGGUACGGGCAGACUAGAGUGUGGUAGGGGAGACUGGAAUUCCUGGUGUAGCGGUGAAAUGCGCAGAUAUCAGGAGGAACACCGGUGGCGAAGGCGGGUCUCUGGGCCGAUACUGACGCUGAGGAGCGAAAGCGUGGGGAGCGAACAGG